CCCCUGGGUGCUGCAGCAGGGUCCCUCCCCUCCCCACCCCUGGGUGCUGCAGCAGGGUCCCUCCCCUCCCCACCCCUGGGUGCCGCACGGGGGGUCCCUCCUCUUUUCCCCUUCCUUCCUUCCUUCCUGGACCAUCCUCUCCCAGUGGUCGGACCAUCUCCCUCACAAGCCCAAGUGAUCUCCCCAGCCUUUUCCCCCUCACCUGUGCUCUCCUUCCAGGAGCUACUGCUGCUACUGCCGCCCAGCCCCAGGAUCCCACCAGCGUUUUCUACAUGGAGGUCACCAUGGAGAUCUCCCUGCACAAAGUCCACCUUGGCAACUUGGAGGAAUUCUAUGCCGGGAUGUGUAACAGCCAACCCACCAGCACUGACGAGGGCACCAUGUUCCACCGAAUUAAGCUCAGUGCCUGCCCGGAGGCUGCUGUGAUCUCUGCUGGCGAUGUGUGAGGAAAGGAGCGAGGGGACUCAGAGGAGCCAAACCUUGGCCGACAGAAAAGCCACUGACGGUACGGCUGGCCAGGCGCCACUUCAGCACCCUUCAUCGCAAAACCAGACCAGAGGUGGAGAAGAGCAAGGGGAGACCUCUUCCACUGAUCUAGAGCCCCAAGGAACAUCACUCCGAGCAGGCCCAGUGCAUGCAAGGCCUCAGCAAACGUCCCGGGGUGCUGGUGUGGGGCAGGGAGGUCUCCAGGCACAACAAAUCCUGCCGAGACAUUCCUCACCAGCAGAGAAGCCCGAGGGGGUGGCCCGGGUGAGAGAUGCAGCCACCGUCACCUGCCCCUCACCCACGCAGGGUGUCCACAGGGGCUUGGUGAUCGAGAUGCACUAAUGUGGGUGCUGGCACUGCAGAGCCUCACGGGCUGUGCUGAAAACGCCCUCCGAAGCGGGCGGGGAAGGUGCAGCCCGUCUUCAUCAUCAUCCAGUCCAGAAACGCCAGCGGGGUCAUGGCCACGCCAAGCGCCGCUCCAGUGUCCAGCCCCCCAGCCCUCUGCACGCCCCCACCUCCUUUUGUCCCCUGGCUUGGAGCUUUGCAGCUGCUGCUGCUGCUUCCAAGUCUGCUUCAAGAGCAGCUCUGCCCAGCAAAGCGUCACGGGGACACACGUCUUUCGGAAGCAGCGGUUGGGUUGAUGUU
rnacentral:lncRNA from 1 species